GUGGUGGUGGUGGCAUUGAUGGCGGAAGUGGAAGUGGUGGCGGGGGUGGCAUAAGUGGUGGCGGAUACCAGAGCGGGGACUCCAGUGAAGGGGAUGGAGUCCCUCAAUUGGACGGAUCGGUGGAAAUAAAUUACAAUCGCAAACGUAAAUCUAUUACUACAAGGCAGACGAACAAAAAAAGACGAACUAUAUCCCAUAGAAGUGGAAGUGGUGGCGGGGGUGGCGUGAGUGGUGGUGG